rnacentral:rRNA from 1 species
UACGUAGGGACCAAGCGUUGUUCGGAUUUACUGGGCGUAAAGGGCGCGUAGGCGGCGCGGUAAGUCACUUGUGAAAUCUCUGAGCUUAACUCAGAACGGCCAAGUGAUACUGCAGUGCUAGAGUGUGGAAGGGGCAAUCGGAAUUCUUGGUGUAGCGGUGAAAUGCGUAGAUAUCGGGAGGAACACCUGUGGCGAAAGCGGCGCACUGGACCACAUCUGACGCUGAGGCGCGAAAGCUAGGGGAGUAAACAGG